GAUGAACGCUAGCUACAGGCUUAACACAUGCAAGUCGCGGGGCAGCAUGGGGGUUGCUUGCAAUCCCCGAUGGCGACCGGCGCACGGGUGAGUAACGCGUAUCCAACCUGCCCUUCACCACGGGAUAACCCGGCGAAAGUCGGACUAAUACCGUAUGUUGUCCAUUGACGGCCUCCGAUUUGGACGAAAGGUUUGGCGGUGAAGGAUGGGGAUGCGUCCGAUUAGCUGGACGGCGGGGUGACGGCCCACCGUGGCGACGAUCGGUAGGGGUUCUGAGAGGAAGGUCCCCCACACUGGAACUGAGACACGGUCCAGACUCCUACGGGAGGCAGCAGUGAGGAAUAUUGAUCAAUGGGCGUAAGCCUGAACCAGCCAAGUAGCGUGCAGGAUGACGGCCCUAUGGGUCGUAAACUGCUUUUAUGCGGGGAUAAAGUGGCCCACGUGUGGGUUUUUGCAGGUACCGCAUGAAUAAGGACCGGCUAAUUCCGUG
rnacentral:rRNA from 1 species